CGGACACCGUCAUGAUCACCAGCAGGUUCUUCCUCAGGAACACCGUCACCUUCCCCACGCAGCUCUUUCGCGCGCCUUGCUCCACGAUCCGAAUUAGACCGGGGUCCGAGGCGCAGCGCUGGGUCAGAUCUGGACACGUUGGGCGCACGCAGUCCGCUGUGUGGGAGCUGGUGCCGGAGUGAGAGGCUGAGCGCGGAGUGGGGAAGUGGGGAGCCAAUGGGGAGCCAGCGACAACACGGGCAGCCUGUGGAACAUGCGCACAAAAGCCGACGCUUUCUAUAGCGAGAGCAAAUGAUGCAAGAGUAGGGGGGAUUGCCAGGGUCUCUGGCAAUGUGGCACGCUUCUGAAUAAAUGUGAUGAUUAAAACAUCAGAGGAAAACUU